CAGGGGAGCGUGGCAACAUGUAGCCCAUAUUUUUUAACUCCUCGUCUCUGAGUCUUUAUUCCUGUGUCUCUCUCUUUCUCUCCUCUAUCCAUUUUCCCUCAGUUUCCAAUCUGCUUCUCAGUUGUUCACCCAUGAGAAUUUUAAGAUAUAACUACAGGAGGUUACAUUAUGGUGCCUAAUAUGAUAUAAAUCACCUGAGGGCAUGUGUUGGGUUGAAGAUUGGAGACGGAUCAGCAGACCUGCACUUGGCCUGUGAGAUACCAGAAGUCCAUGGAAGAAAACCAAAGUCAUCCAGCAUUUCCAAAGAAAGCCAGCCCAGAGAGAGGAGUAAGCACAUGUCUAUAUAGCACCAACCACAGCACAACACAGAGGCCAGGCAUCAGAAGAAAACAGCAGAUGAACAAACAAGACAAAACCAUUGACUUAAAGAAAGGUCUAAUGCAUUAUCCACACAGAUGAACUUUUACUGAGAGGCAGUUUACCUACAGAAGAAUAUCAUUAAUUUGCUUACAGACAUUCUAUUCUAAAAGUAUAUGCGUAUUUGUUGUAAGAUCAAUUUUUCUCAUGUACCUGCAGACUUCAAAUGGUAUUUGUAUAAUAUGUAACUUGCAAUUAUUUUAUUUGAAUUGUUCCAUGUUACCCAAAUUUGAUCAAAAGACAAAUUUUACAAUUGGAAAUGUUAUAACAGUAUAUUGGAUACUGUUCAGUUACAACAGAAAUUCUUUAUAUUAUCCAAAAUGUGUGUAUGAUAUGUAAUAAUUAAAAUAGUGGAAGACAUAAA